rnacentral:misc_RNA from 1 species
GAUGAAGAACGUAGCGAAAUGCGAUAAGUAAUGUGAAUUGCAGAAUUCAGUGAAUCAUCGAAUCUUUGAACGCACAUUGCGCCCGCCAGUAUUCUGGCGGGCAUGCCUGUUCGAGCGUCAUUUCAACCAUCAAGCCCCCGGCUUGUGUUGGGGACCUGCGGCUGCCGCAGGCUCUGAAAACCAGUGGCGGGCUCGCUAGUCACUCCGAGCGUAGUAAUACAUCUCGCUCAGGGCGUGCUGCGGGUUCCGGCCGUUAAAAAGCCUUAUUUACCCAAGGUUGACCUCGGAUCAGGUAGGAAGACCCGCUGAACUUAAGCAUAUCAAUAAGCGGAGGA